CAGAUAAUCAGGUUGAUUUCAUCUACUGCUGUGGUCAAGAUUGUUACGUUGGCAUCAUGUCAGUGAGUAAUAGUCAAAAACAGACGCACUUGUGCUGACUUAGCAUCUCUCAUGGUCACGAGCCUCUAUAUUACAGGAGAACGGAGAUUAAUUCCUCAGAACGGACGCAUUGGACCUGAUUUAAGAAUUCAUCCUUGAUCCUGAGACCUAGGAUUGCAUCUCUGUUACGGGAAUCUGGAGACCAAUAAUGGAACCACCUGAGGUGAAUUAAGCGUCUUCCAUGGUCACGAGCUCUCUGCUUGCGUCUCUCUUGUAGGAGAUGGAGACC